CCCGCAGCGCCAAGCGCAGCCACCCCCGAGUCUAGGGGGUUGGACCCCUCAGCCCUCGGUCGUCGCCGUGUUCACAUGGAUGUUAUGCAAGCCACUGAGAGACAGUUGACAAUCCUCCGCAGAGAAGAAAAAGAAAGCAACACGACCACACGCACCGCAGCUCAGAGCUUCAAAGACCACAUUUAAGGUGCCCUUCAAACAGCCCUGUGCAGCAUGGGCUGGUCCCGGACCCCAGCCUGUGUAAACAGAGUUAUAUUUACUAGCAUGAAACCUAAAAUAGAAAUCCUGCAGCAAGCUUUUCUCUCCUUAAAGGUGUCUCUUUGAUACCUGAGUGGGUACCCACGAAGGGGCCCAGGUCCAUUGUUAAGGCCGUCAGCAGUGGCUGGUGGGGACAGUGGCUGGUGGGUAGGCUUUCUCUUUCGCAUUUUAUGGGGAGCGUCAAAGGCCAGCAGAUUCAUAGCCUGGUGACGUCUUUGAUAGAAACACUCCUAUUUUUUCUCUUUGGCUGUAGCUGGUGUCCGCAGGUUGAUGUCUGGUAUCAGAAGAGCCUCGAACAGGUGGCUGAGGGAAUCUGUGGGCUCGCUGUUUUACGGAAUGUUUAAAAUGGUCACAAAAUGAACUUUUCUGAACCCCUUUCGGGGUCCUAAGAUGUUUCUGCCCUAAGGAGGGUUUUUCCGCUUUGUUGUUGUUGGUCUUUUUUUUUUUCUCAAUCUAGAUUAAAAAUAGUCUAAUAGUCCAGGUAGAUGGUGCUUUUUAUUUAUUUGUUUCCCAUCAAACUCUCUCUCUCUGAAGUGCACACAGAUGUUUCUUUGGUUUGUCUGUGUGUGGGAGGGAGAGACACACAGACACAGGCUAACAGCCACACGAAAGGCAAAGACAGAGCCUCUAGCCUGCCUGAACCGUCUUUCUCCGUGAAAUUGAGAGGACAGAGGUCCUUCUCGAAGCAAAUGAUGGUGGUGAUGGAGGUGAGAAGGGAGCGCAGGGAGAAAGACCAAGCAUUAGGUAGCGAGCAAGGCUCAGGGGAAGAGAGCCGUGAAACGGCAGGAAGACAGGCCCGAUCCUCAGUUGAAGGCACUGCUCUCACCAUCCUGGAAUCUAAUACCUUCUGA
rnacentral:lncRNA from 1 species